GGGAUAAGCCAUGCGAGUCAACAUAGCAAUAUGUGGCAUACGGCUCAGUAACACGUAGUCAACAUGCCCAGGGGACGUGGAUAACCUCGGGAAACUGAGGAUAAACCGCGAUAGGUCAUCACUUCUGGAAUGGGUAAUGACUUAAACCUAUAUGGCCCCUGGAUUGGACUGCGGCCGAUCAGGCUGUUGGUGAGGUAAUGGCCCACCAAACCUGUAACCGGUACGGGCUCUGAGAGGAGGAGCCCGGAGAUGGGCACUGAGACAAGGGCCCAGGCCCUAUGGGGCGCAGCAGGCGCGAAACCUCUGCAAUAGGCGAAAGCUUGACAGGGUUACUCUGAGUGAUUUCCGUUAAGGAGAUCUUUUGGCACCUCUAAAAAUGGUGCAGAAUAAGGGGUGGGCAAGUCUGGUGUCAGCCGCCGCGGUAAUACCAGCACCCCGAGUGGUCGGGACGUUUAUUGGGCCUAAAGCAUCCGUAGCCGGUUCUACAAGUCUUCCGUUAAAUCCACCUGCUUAACAGAUGGGCCGCGGAAGAUACUAUAGAGCUAGGAGGCGGGAGAGGCAAGCGGUACUCGAUGGGUAGGGGUAAAAUCCGUUGAUCCAUUGAAGACCACCAGUGGCGAAGGCGGCUUGCCAGAACGCGCUCGACGGUGAGGGAUGAAAGCUGGGGGAGCAAACCGGAUUAGAUACCCGGGUAGCCCCAGCUGUAAACGAUGCAGACUCGGUGAUGAGUUGGCUUAUUGCUAACUCAGUGCCGCAGGGAAGCCGUUAAGUUUGCCGCCUGGGGAGUACGGUCGCAAGACUGAAACUUAAAGGAAUUGGCGGGGGAGCACCACAAGGGGUGAAGCCUGCGGUUCAAUUGGAGUCAACGCCGGAAAUCUUACCGGGGGCGACAGCAGAGUGAAGGUCAAGCUGAAGACUUUACCAGACAAGCUGAGAGG
rnacentral:rRNA from 1 species